rnacentral:rRNA from 1 species
GACGAACGUUGGCGGCGUGCUUAAUACAUGCAAGUCAACUGAAGCAGUGGUAGCAAUAUCGCUGUGGAGGUGGCGCACGGGUGAGUAACACGUAGGUAAUCUGCCUUCAGGUCUGGCAUAACUCCGGGAAACCGGGGCUAAUAGCAGAUGAUGCAGCGGCUCGACAUCGAGACAGUUGUUAAAGCUAUGGUGCCUGAAGAUGAGCCUGCGUCUGAUUAGCUAGUUGUCGGGGUAACGGCCCACCAAGGCAACGAUCAGUAGCUGGUCUGAGAGGAUGAUCAGCCACACUGGAACUGAGACACGGUCCAGACUACUACGGGAGGCAGAAGUAAGGAAUAUUGCUCAAUGGGAGAACUCCUGAGGCAGCGACGCCGCGUGAGGGACGAAGGGCUUUUGCUUGUAAACCUCUGUAGUGAGAGAAAAAAAUCCCAAUCUUUGGGACAUGAUGGUAUCUCAAAAGUAAGCCCCGGCUAACUACGUG